rnacentral:lncRNA from 1 species
UUCCUGUUUAUUAUUUCAUCUUACUUCACAGCCACAGCUCGGCCCUGAGAUGGUGAGUUCUCUGCUAGUAACUCCAGCAGGAAGAGGGACUGAGUCCCAGAGCUGAGAAUGUGGGUUCCAGUCGUUUCUGGGUAGUGGACACAUCCACAGGCCAUCCACC